GCCGCAGUAGCUCAGCUGGUAGAGCACAUCUCUCGUAAAGAUGGGGUCGCCGGUUCGAAUCCGGCCUGCGGCU
rnacentral:tRNA from 1 species